UUAAACUAUUAAUUGGAUGGUCAAAAAGAUGAAAGUCAACUAAAUUAUCUUUUUAAGGCAAGUCGACAUAAUGUAAAGAUCAAUGGACUUUUCUUGUUUUUUUUUUUUUAUGUUCACGUCCAAUAGCAAAAAGGAAAGGUAAAAGAGUAUGUAUAACUUAAGCAUUGGUAGAUGCAAAUUCAGAACUCAUAAGUCAAUAGCCAUAUCAAAUUUGGGAUAAUCCAGAAAUAGGUUUUGGUUUAAGUAUAGUCCUAUAUAUAUAUACCAAAAACAUGACUACAUAUAUGAGCUGCUGAAUCCAACAUAUUAAUUCAGGACUGAUGAAAUGAG
rnacentral:lncRNA from 1 species